GUGCCAGCCGCCGCGGUAAUACGGGGGGGGCAAGCGUUGUUCGGAUUUACUGGGCGUAAAGGGAGCGUAGGCUGUCGGUCAAGUCCGGUGUGAAACCCUUACCGCUUACCGGAAGGACGGCACUGGAUACUGGCCGGCUAGAGUGGGGUAGAGGCAAGCGGAAUUCCUGGUGUAGCGGUGGAAUGUGCAGAUAUCAGGAAGAACAUCUGUGGCGAAGGCGGCUUGCUGGGCCCUUACUGACGCUGAGGCUCGAAAGCGUGGGGAGCAAACGGGAUUAGAUACCCCCGUAGUCC
rnacentral:rRNA from 1 species